GGUGAACGCUGGCGGUAGGCCUAACACAUGCAAGUCGAACGGCGGCACAGUAAUAGCUUGCUCUUACGGGUGGCGAGUGGCGGACGGGUGAGGAAUACAUCGGAAUCUACUUUUUCGUGGGGGAUAACGUAGGGAAACUUACGCUAAUACCGCAUACGACCUACGGGUGAAAGCAGGGGAUCUUCGGACCUUGCGCGAUUGAAUGAGCCGAUGUCGGAUUAGCUAGUUGGCGGGGUAAAGGCCCACCAAGGCGACGAUCCGUAGCUGGUCUGAGAGGAUGAUCAGCCACACUGGAACUGAGACACGGUCCAGACUCCUACGGGGGGCAGCAGUGGGGAAUAUUGGACAAUGGGCGCAAGCCUGAUCCAGCCAUACCGCGUGGGUGAAGAAGGCCUUCGGGCUGUAAAGCCCUUUUGUUGGGAAAGAAAAGCAGCAGGUUAAUACCCCGCUGUUCUGACGGUACCCAAAGAAUAAGCACCGGCUAACUUCGUG
rnacentral:rRNA from 1 species